rnacentral:rRNA from 1 species
CCUACGGGGGGCUGCAGUGGGGAAUCUUGCGCAAUGGCCGAGAGGCUGACGCAGCGACGCCGCGUGGAGGAUGACGGCCUUCGGGUUGUAAACUCCUGUUGCCCGGGACGAACACACGGAUGCGUCCGUGCUGACGGUACCGGGUGAGGAAGCACCGGCUAACUCCGUGCCAGCAGCCGCGGUAAUACGGAGGGUGCGAGCGUUGUCCGGAAUCACUGGGCGUAAAGGGCGCGUAGGCGGUGGGGUAAGCGUGUGGUGAAAGUCCGGGGCUCAAC